AGUUGUGAAAUGACAUUUUUUUUUCCAGUAGGUUUGUCAUAUCUCCUGCAUGGAGGAAAAUUGCAUUCUGUAAAUCUCGGUCCCACAGAACAAAACACCUAUUUCUUUCCAGUUGGGGAGACGGCCGUUCUCAUCGGCAUAAUGAAGAGGGGCGCCGGGUACCAAAUAAAAGAGAUGAAGUUGAACGACUGGCUUUAGAAAUGGAGGGAGGAGCCACGAUGAGCCACCGGAAGACGACAAAGGCCAGGAAGCCCCAGGAAGAAACCAGUCCCGCGGACACCCGAGUUCAGCCCUGCAGGACUUGUUUUGGAUUUCUGACCUCCAGAGCUGUACAAGAAUAAACUUGGCCUUUAAAGCCUC